UAGAAAAAACACUAGUCCUAACCACAUCCUUAGUGGGAAGAUUCAGAAGUACCUUACAUAGCUAGAGCUGUCAAUUGGGCAGGACGCCCAUGGGCUUGCCCAGUCCAAAUGCAUAUGGGCGAACUAUAUUCCAGACAAAAAAAAAUGGUCUAAUUGGGCAUAUUAUCAGUUUUGUCCAUAGACAAUAUGGGCUUGACCGUAUGGACAAUGGGUUGCUCAUGGACAUGAAUUGAGUCAAUAGAUAUGUCUUCAUUUUAAUCAUAUUUUUAUAA
rnacentral:sRNA from 1 species